UGGGGAAUUUUGGACAAUGGGCGAAAGCCUGAUCCAGCAAUGCCGCGUGUGUGAAGAAGGCCUUCGGGUUGUAAAGCACUUUUGUCCGGAAAGAAAUCCUUGGCUCUAAUACAGUCGGGGGAUGACGGUACCGGAAGAAUAAGCACCGGCUAACUACGUGCCAGCAGCCGCGGUAAUACGUAGGGUGCAAGCGUUAAUCGGAAUUACUGGGCGUAAAGCGUGCGCAGGCGGUUUGCUAAGACCGAUGUGAAAUCCCCGGGCUCAACCUGGGAACUGCAUUGGUGACUGGCAGGCUAGAGUAUGGCAGAGGGGGGUAGAAUUCCACGUGUAGCAGUGAAAUGCGUAGAGAUGUGGAGGAAUACGAUGGCGAAGGCAGCCCCCUGGGCCAAUACUGACGCUCAUGCACGAAAGCGUGGGGGAGCAAACAGGAUUAGAUACCCUGGUAGUCCACGCCCUAAACGAUGUCAACUAGUUGUUGGGGAUUCAUUUCCUUAGUAACGUAGCUAACGCGUGAAGUUGACCGCCUGGGGAGUACGGUCGCAAGAUUAAAACUCAAAUGAAUUGACGGGGUCAUAGCUGUUUCCU
rnacentral:rRNA from 1 species